UCUGUUGAGAGUGGCGUGAUCAUCAUACCGAGGGUGGGAGGAAGGGUUCCACAGCCCCGCGGCGCUGCUAGGGAUUCGGCUUUGUGCUUUGGCGAGAGCCUGUGCUAGAGAGGGGAGCGCACGUCUUUGCGAUUCAUAAUGGGGCCAUGUCAACUUCUGUCUUCCUUGGGACUUCUUGGCUGUGUGUCGGGGUCCCAGAUGCCCUGGGUGACCCAGGAAAUAAUUCUUUUUUUUUUUNCGGGUCUCUGGAGAACCCACAUUAAGAUUGGGCCGGGCCGGGCCUGGCGGGGGAGUAAACCACGUGACCACACAGAGCGCCUCAGGGCCGACGCCCCCUCCUCCGGAAGCCGUGUUCUGACGUCGCCAUGCGGCAACUUCCUGCAGGACCUCGACGGAGCCUAUUGCAUUCUGGGACACGCGUGGCUACGCUCGGAUUUUAGAGCGUCGGUGUAGGGCGUGUCUCCCCGCGGUGCCCUGUGUACACGUUCUCCUGCCAGCUCAAACAUCUUUUCCAUUUAUAAAGAGGCGGGGUUCUAUUUCCUGCGAGCAAGGAGUUGCCAGAGGAUGGUGUCAGUUUAGGUACUGCUAAACUUAAUGCAACCAGAUCUGGGGCCUGAGACUAAUUCGAGGCUCACAAGACGGUCUAAGUGCUACUACUUCCUCCCCACAUCCCGGGCUUCCGAAGGAUCACGUGACCGAUGGCUAGCUCAGCUGUCACGUGAUGCGUCGCGUGUCGUUUUUGCGCUGGAGACUACUAGCUCACGGGGGUGUGUGUCUUUGUCUCCGCUCCCGCCCUGGUCCCGUUUUUUUGCCGCAUGCACAGCACACGAUUGCUUCCUGCGUUAUCACUCAAACUCCACUUCCACCGUUUCUUUCUCACAGGUACAGAGACGCACACCUGGCCGUCUGUCCCUCUUGGGCUCUGGAGGAGAAGGAACUUGCCGACAGUGAAGAAACCUCUCACAGCAUGGACUGCUGAAAUGGUGUUCUGUGACCUGAAGGCUGUUGAAUAUACGGAGUGUUUUGCGUUCACAAAGAAAAACUUAAAGGAUUCCUUUGACAAAGCACUAUUGACUGCCUCGGAGACUCUGGAACUGAAGGGCCAGGUAAGUGCUGCUUGGAACAUGCCUCCAGAGCUCUUUCUGCACCAUUGGUGGUGUUAUC
rnacentral:lncRNA from 1 species